AUGAAUAUUGAGGAAUUAUCAGCAGAUACCACGACAAUCUGAUUACCAUUAACCUGCGAUAAAAUAUAACUUGCCUGUCAUUAUUUAGUUCAAUUCGAACAACCAGUGUAUUGUGAUUAUCAUUCCCUUGACUUCGGAUUAAAUAUCUUACGUGUGAAAAAGACGAUGAUAACUCAGAAACUAUAAUAAUCAGAGGAAGAUGGAAAUGAAACACGUGAUAGAGGAAAAAUAAUAAAAAAGUGUGAAAGGAAAAGAAAGAAAUGAAAUACAGCUCUCCCUUUCACAGUGAGAGUAAACCCGCACACAAAACGUUUAAUAGAAGGAAAUCAACAGUGAUAUAAAACCGAUUAAUGCAACCUACCACUAAACUAAGUUGCAGUUCCCUCUUGCAAUUGCCAAAGCAGCGACGGAUUGUAUGAAACAGCAUAUCCCUUCACGUAUGCAAUGGCAAGAUUUGGUAACCAUGACGGCGACGAGAGACCGGGACAAAGGAUCUGCGCAUCCUUACCAUGACCAGCGGAACGGAACCCUCCAGAUCCUACAAACAGACACCUUUAAUUCUGGUCCAAGUUUUUAAAUACAAGACGCGUGAAACAGACACUGGGCUUAGACGCUGGACACGACAAAGUCUACGGAGAUCAAGCACCGUAAGAACAAGGCAGGCAAUCAGAUAAACAAAGGUUUGUCUCCUUGGUUGAUGUCGUGAGUCAUUCGGCCCGAUUUUAAAGGAAGUCUGGAAGUCAUCAGCGUCUUCGUAUUCAUCCCAAAGAGGACUUGACACAAGGCGGCGAUGGAAAGCGAGGGAAGAAGCUGACCAGAGUGUAAAUAUUGUGUAAUAAAGUUUAUACAUAUG